rnacentral:rRNA from 1 species
AGCGAACGCUGGCGGCAGGCCUAACACAUGCAAGUCGAACGAACCUUUCGGGGUUAGUGGCGGACGGGUGAGUAACACGUGGGAACGUGCCUUUAGGUUCGGAAUAACUCAGGGAAACUUGUGCUAAUACCGAAUGUGCCCUUCGGGGGAAAGAUUUAUCGCCUUUAGAGCGGCCCGCGUCUGAUUAGCUAGUUGGUUGAGGUAAUGGCUCACCAAGGCGACGAUCAGUAGCUGGUCUGAGAGGAUGAUCAGCCACAUUGGGACUGAGACACGGCCCAAACUCCUACGGGAGGCAGCAGUGGGGAAUCUUGCACAAUGGGCGAAAGCCUGACGCAGCCAUGCCGCGUGAAUGAUGAAGGUCUUAGGAUUGUAAAAUUCUUUCACCGGGGACGAUAAUGACGGUACCCGGAGAAGAAGCCCCGGCUAACUUCGUG